rnacentral:lncRNA from 1 species
CCUUGUCUCAAAACAAACAAACCAAUAAACAAAAAAGCAAAAUGAAAGUGAAAUGCUGUUUCUGGAUUUGUGCGUGUUGAUGAGAAUGUUGGUUUUUGUUUUUUUACUGAGAGCAAAAAAGCAUAUGUAGCAUUAAACCUGGAGGAAAUCAUUGCUUGCCUCUGAGCUAUCCUAACAGUGGAAUAUGUUAGAAUUUCUGGGGCUCUGUGGCAGGGCAGAAUUCCAUCUGAUUAAAAUGGAACGGACAAGGCCAGCUGACAUCUCAAAGUCCUGUCUGAGCAGCUGAGCUUCCAAAGACUAAUUGCUAAAAAGACUAGAUCGAGUUACUGUAUCCAAAAUAUUUGGCUAUUCCUAAUCGGACUGUGGUUAAGAAAAGGCCUCCUGCAGCUUUGCUCAGUUGGCAGGCAGACAAUUUCCCAUGAUUCCAGCUUAGCACCAGUUAGAAAAUUAUAGGGGGAAAAAAAAGUCCCUAACAAUAAGAUUGCCAAGUAAAUCUGGAGUUUCCUUCUUGGUAAUGAUUUUGAUUUUUCACAACCUGAGAGGGAAUCUACAAGUUGCCCUUUGUCAGCCCCUUCCUUUCUAGCCCCCCCAUCUCCAUACAGUUGUGUGGUGGUUAACCAGUGGGGCUAUAAGGUUUCAUUCCCAUUAGUCAAGCUCAUCAUAGAAUAAAUAACCAUUGAUUUAUGGUUGCCUGGAUCCUGAUUAGAGUCUGGAAGAUUCCUUUUUUUCCUACUUUCUCGUACUUUCUCCUUUUUUGGGGGGGGACCAUAGGUAAUUUGUGAUCUCUCUUAAUAGCACAGAAUCACUGUAGCAGAAACAGACUCUGUAUGAGGAGCUUAGAAGACUGGUCUUUGUUUUGAGUCUGUUGCCAAUAGGAGUUAAAGAGUCUCUGGUCCUCUUGGCCAUUCCUCUCCACACCCAUAAAAUGAGAGGCCUGUACAAGGCAUCUCACAGGACUGGGAUUUAAUGAAUAUGGUUCUCUGGUUGAUACUGCUUUUGGACCUCAGAGUGUGGAGCGGGAGGGAUGUGGUUUCAGCAUAAGAGAGUAGGGAGUGGGGAAUGGAGCGCAUGGCAGGGCACCAGAGAAAUAAAACAAGGACAAUCAAGGAAUGGAGGGAAGCUGCUGCUCCCUUCCCUUUUAGUGGCAAUUGUCAGCCUGCUGAGGCCAAGACGCCCUACUGCUCCAAGAAGCACUGCCCAAGAUUUCUGAAGGGCAUGGCAGUCUGCUCUUCCCUUCACCCACAGCAAGUCACACUUUAUUCCUCUCGCACCUCCAGCAAUGUCUCUAAUAUCCAGAGGAACCUGAAUAUUUUACCAGCCAGACCAAGGUGUUCUGUUUCUAAAUCAAAUCAUCACUGUCUUUUUACAGUUUUGCAUUAAAUGAUAGGUAAAAACUAAAACUUUUAAUAACUGUUUCUUUUAUAUUUGUAGAUCUUG